ACGUAGGAUGCAAGCGUUGUCCGGAAUUAUUGGGCGUAAAGAGCGCGCAGGCGGUUUUUCAAGUCAGAUGUGAAAUAUCCGGGCUUAACCCGGAGGGGUCAUUUGAAACUGAGGAACUAGAGUACAGCAGAGGAUAGCGGAAUUCCCGGUGUAGUGGUGAAAUGCGUAGAUAUCGGGAGGAACACCAGUGGCGAAGGCGGCUAUCUGGGCUGAAACUGACGCUGAGGCGCGAAGGCUAGGGGAGCAAACAGGAUUAGAUACCCUGGUAGUCCUAGCAGUAAACGAUGGAUACUAGGUGUUGGGGGAAAUUGACCCCCUCAGUGCCGCAGUUAACACAAUAAGUAUCCCGCCUGGGGAGUACGGUCGCAAGAUUA
rnacentral:rRNA from 1 species